GAUGAACGCUGGCGGCGUGCCUAAUACAUGCAAGUCGAGCGAACAGAUGAGGAGCUUGCUCCUCUGACGUUAGCGGCGGACGGGUGAGUAACACGUGGAUAACCUACCUAUAAGACUGGGAUAACUUCGGGAAACCGGAGCUAAUACCGGAUAAUAUAUUGAACCGCAUGGUUCAAUAGUGAAAGACGGUUUUGCUGUCACUUAUAGAUGGAUCCGCGCCGCAUUAGCUAGUUGGUAAGGUAACGGCUUACCAAGGCAACGAUGCGUAGCCGACCUGAGAGGGUGAUCGGCCACACUGGAACUGAGACACGGUCCAGACUCCUACGGGAGGCAGCAGUAGGGAAUCUUCCGCAAAGGGCGAAAGCCUGACGGAGCAACGCCGCGUGAGUGAUGAAGGUCUUCGGAUCGUAAAACUCUGUUAUUAGGAAAGAACAAAUGUGUAAGUAACUAUGCACGUCUUGACGGUACCUAAUCAGAAAGCCACGGCUAACUACGUG
rnacentral:rRNA from 1 species